AUUACCCACACACUGAGUCUUGUUAACCCCAUCUAAUCACCCAUCCUUCUUAUCUUCUCUCUGCCUGCAGAGUUUUCUUAACCCCAGUCUUUUUAACCCCUGGGGUUCAUUCCCUCUCUCUGAUAGAAGAGCCUCUUUAACCCCAGUCUGCAAGCAGAUUCCAUUUUAACCCCAUCCAACCAUUCCUUAUCCAUACUCUCUCUCCCCAGCACACUUUUAAAGGCACCUAUCCAAAAAAGUGAGUACUGCCAAAUUGGACCUGAGGAAGGCACCCUUGAGUUCCAAAAUGCGUUGUCCGUAUUUCUCAGUAAAAUAUUUGUUGUCCUGUGCCGGCCUGUGUCCGCUUCAUUGUGUACAAAUCAGAGCAGCCCCUCCAAGACCGCCUUUUCCAAAUUCACUAUCACAUUUUCAAGCUGGGCCCACGUUGGGAACCCAGAAUCGGUCCAAGUGCAGCAGCUCCUUUUUCAACCAACCAAAUGAACCUCGAUCACCACAACCUACAACAGACGUGGAAUCAAUACGUCAUCACCUCAUAGCAAACGACCAAGCAGUCGAAGCAUGAAGAAUACUGCUAUUUUGGCAAGUUCCAGCUGGGCGUAAUAUGGCCACAUUUCUGCAUCUGUAUUACAGCUCCAAGUCCUGCUCCAACCAUGGAUGGAUAAACCAUGAAUUUCUGAUUGGCAUGGUGCCGAUGUCUGGCACCCCCACCAAACUGCUGUUUGAUGCCUGCACUGCACAAAAAAUAGAGCAGUCAAGAGCAGUUGGCUCAAAUCACUGUACAGUGGCUUGGUCUGGCUACUGCAGAUCAGCUCCCAUUCACUGGAGCCGGAGAUAAGCUGCAGUUACGAGGUGCAACCACUACACAGUAAAUGGAGCCAACUGCUUCCUGCCCCACUCAGUGUGCACUGAAAAGCUGAUUAGUGGGGUGGUCACAGCUGAUCAGGGAUUGACAGUCUAUCAAUCAUGUAAGCCCAGAAUUCCUCUUUACUGACCUUAACAGCAUCAUAGGAGUAAAUUUUAUUUUCAGUUACUGGACAAGAAUACAGGCUAGAUGAGCUUGUCUGAAAUGGAUCUCACUUUAGUAUCUUAUUUUAGCCUGUCCCCAUCACAAUGAUCUAUCAUGGCAUCAUUACUGGCCCAGAUUUAUCAAUCUGCCUGAAACCCUAAUUGUGUGUUUUUCUCAAAGCAACCAAUCACAGCUCAAUUUCCACUUUACUGGAGAUCGUUAAGAUAUGAAAGCUGAGCUGUGAUUGGUUGUUAUGGGAAAACCAGACAAUUAGGGUUUCAGGCUGAUUGAUAAAUCUCCCCAACAGUAUUGCUAAAAAAGAUUUAUCAAGCUAUUUUAUUGUAAGACUUGCAGAGUACUCGGCAAGUCUUACUAUAAGAUAGCUCGAUAAAGCUAUUUUUUAAUUUUUUCGUAUUUUAAGGAAAUAUUUUAUUGUAAUAUUAUAUGAUUCAAGAACUGGUCUAUAUGGCUACUAGGAAUGGGCGAACCGAAGCUGACGAAGUCGAAUUCCUUCCGAAUUUCAUGAAAAAUUUGAUUCUGAACAAAUCCGAAUUUCCUCACGCUUCGAGGAAAGGAAUCACUUCAUUCACCAUUUUGUGUGGGCUGGGGGGCUAAAUUGGCAGCUACACGUGUGAAGACAUGGGGAAAGGAAGUCUGGAAAGGUGGGUAGGCAGGAUCACCCUGAAUCACAUGGUGGCAUGCAGCCUAUCAGCACCCAGCCAGCCCUGUGAUGUCACAGCCCUAUAUAUCCAGCAGUCAUUGCCAAAGACGGGCAUUUGCUGAGAGAGCAGAGACUGUGUGUGCACACUAAUUACUUUACCAUUACUGACAAUACAGAUCUUUAAAGUGGUGAAUCCAAUAACCUCAAGCCUGCAUUUCUUUUUGCUAGAGAGAGCAGACACUGUAUGGUCACUAAUCAGCGUUACUGACAAUACAGAUCAGAACGGGGGAAAUCCAUUGACCUCAAGCCUGCAUCACUGCAGGCAGGCAAGGAGAGUUUAGAAGUAAUUUCAUAGUCUGCCAAUUGAGAUCAUCAUAAGAAACAUAUGGUCUCCCGACCCUGCUGCCACAUCCAGACUCUGUCAUUGUGCUGCUCUGCGGCAGUGAUUCUAAUAGCGACACUUGUAAUUUGCAUGUCAUACUGAAUAACAGUAUUAUUUCACUACCCCAGCACACUCCCUAUGCAUGUUACAGCAAGGCAAAGUGUUGUACACCCCUAUUAAGGAUCUCUGUAGCCCGGAAAUAGUUGUUUUAAUAGUGAUUCACCGUGAUUAUAUUCGGAUUGAACCAAAUUUUUCCGGACAAUUUGGCGAAUCGACCGAAUCAAAUUUUUUAAAAAAUGUGCCCAUCUCUAAUGGCUACCAUACCUAACUGUCUUCUUCAUGCUAGCUUUAGGUCUACUUUCUUUUUAGCGUCUUUACAGACUACUUGUUUGCCGUGUUUGUAUACCGUGUGCACCAUAGUAAUGUCAUUGAAUGUCUAAUGGUAUUUUUAAGCUGUAGAAUCAUAGCAAUAACUUCAUUUUUUACAAACCCUGGCAUACAGUAUUUUAUAGGCUAGUAGAGUUUGUAUAGGCUUGUAGAGUGUUUGGCACAUACAACUUUUGAACAUACAGUUGAAAUUUUUAUAGUGACAUGCACCCUCUCUUGAACCCUAUUUAGGAAUAUAGUGAGUUAGUGGGACCCUAUGGAAGGCAUAGGUGUCCGGAAUAUUCUCUGCCCAUUUGGCAUAGAACAGAAACACUGUCUGCUUGUAGGCACAAAUGAUAAACACCAUAUUUGCAAUUGCCACCCAUUCUAUGUGGGAGUCCUAUUUUAAAUGUGACACUUCAUUUUAUCGCGCAUUGGUAAAUUGUUGUAAAGAGUUUGUUUGUAGGAGUUAAUUAAGUCAAUUCAUAGUAAUUUAAGAUUAAAGUACCCUCAGUAGGAGCAGAUAAAAGACCCUCAUGAAAUGGCUAAAUGUGAUGUCUCUGACGUGGUGUCCCUUUUAAUUAAUAGAUAUUGUAGCUAAUAAGAUGCACAAAUAGAGUAGCCAUCUGUAAAUAAAAUGUGUUGAGCUUCUUGCUGGUCCUUCUCCUUUUUUAAUGAGCCAAUUCACCUUGUAAAGGAAGAAUUAUACCAUGUUGAGGAGGAGUAAGGUUAAAUCGUGUGCAAACUGCAAUGAUUUGUUUCUCAUUUAUAUAUCUUGCCUCUGACAAGUAGAAAGAAACAAGAGUUGAAUAAAUCACCAGAGAAUAUUCUUAACUUGUGUUGAUUAAAGAGAAUUUCUGGUCAUUUCUGCCUCGUUUUUCCAAGUCAGCAAUCAUUUAUCAUAAGCAGAAUCAGCAUGCUAUUAAGUCAAAAGCUAUUUGCUGUUUAAUAUUUAAAACUGGAAUAUUGAAGAGUAAAUAAAUGCAAAGUGUCUUAGAUGAAGUUCAUGGUUGUAUGUGGUAAUGAAAAAUAUUACUAUUGCAUAUAUACAGAGUGUUUACAAUAUUAUUAUAAAUACUAUUACAGUAUAUAUCACUUCAUGUAUUUGAAUUUGCAAACCAGUGUAUAUAUUUGCCCUUCUGUAUAGCCUUCUGAAUGGCCAUGUACCU